GGGAACCGUGAGACAGGUGCUGCAUGGCUGUCGUCAGCUCGUGUUGUGAAAUGUUGGGUUAAGUCCCGCAACGAGCGCAACCCUUAUCCUUUGUUGCCAGCGGUCCGGCCGGGAACUCAAAGGAGACUGCCAGUGAUAAACUGGAGGAAGGUGGGGAUGACGUCAAGUCAUCAUGGCCCUUACGACCAGGGCUACACACGUGCUACAAUGGCGCAUACAAAGAGAAGCGACCUCGCGAGAGCAAGCGGACCUCAUAAAGUGCGUCGUAGUCCGGAUUGGAGUCUGCAACUCGACUCCAUGAAGUCGGAAUCGCUAGUAAUCGUGGAUCAGAAUGCCACGGUGAAUACGUUCCCGGGCCUUGUACACACCGCCCGUCACACCAUGGGAGUGGGUUGCAAAAGAAGUAGGUAGCUUAACCUUCGGGAGGGCGCUUACCACUUUGUGAUUCAUGACUGGGGUGAAGUCGUAACAAGGUAACCGUAGGGGAACCUGCGGUUGGAUCAC
rnacentral:rRNA from 2 species